AUUGAACGCUGGCGGCAUGCCUCACACAUGCAAGUCGAACGGCAGCGCGGACUUCGGUCUGGCGGCGAGUGGCGAACGGGUGAGUAAUACAUCGGAACGUGCCCUGUUGUGGGGGAUAACUAGUCGAAAGAUUAGCUAAUACCGCAUACGACCUGAGGGUGAAAGCGGGGGACCGAAAGGCCUCGCGCAAUAGGAGCGGCCGAUAUCUGAUUAGCUAGUUGGUGGGGUAAAAGCUCACCAAGGCGACGAUCAGUAGCUGGUCUGAGAGGACGACCAGCCACACUGGAACUGAGACACGGUCCAGACUCCUACGGGAGGCAGCAGUGGGGAAUUUUGGACAAUGGGCGCAAGCCUGAUCCAGCAAUGCCGCGUGAGUGAAGAAGGCCUUCGGGUUGUAAAGCUCUUUUGUCAGGGAAGAAACGGUCUUGGUUAAUACCUGGGGCUAAUGACGGUACCUGAAGAAUAAGCGCCGGCUAACUACGUGCCAGCAGCCGCGGUAAUACGUAGGGUGCAAGCGUUAAUCGGAAUUACUGGGCGUAAAGCGUGCGCAGGCGGUUAUGCAAGACAGAUGUGAAAUCCCCGGGCUCAACCUGGGAAUUGCAUUUGUGACUGUAUGGCUAGAGUGUGUCAGAGGGGGGUAGAAUUCCACGUGUAGCAGUGAAAUGCGUAGAUAUGUGGAGGAAUACCGAUGGCGAAGGCAGCCCCCUGGGAUAACACUGACGCUCAUGCACGAAAGCGUGGGGAGCAAACAGGAUUAGAUACCCUGGUAGUCCACGCCCUAAACGAUGUCUACUAGUUGUCGGGUCUUAAUUGACUUGGUAACGCAGCUAACGCGUGAAGUAGACCGCCUGGGGAGUACGGUCNC
rnacentral:rRNA from 1 species